UACGGAGGGUGCGAGCGUUGUCCGGAAUCAUUGGGCGUAAAGGGCGCGUAGGCGGCUUCUCAAGCGUGUGGUGAAAGUCCGGGGCUCAACCCCGGAUCGGCCGUGCGGACUGGGGAGCUCGAGUUCUGUAGAGGCGGGUGGAAUUCCGGGUGUAGCGGUGGAAUGCGUAGAGAUCCGGAGGAAGACCGGUGGCGAAGGCGGUCUGCUGGGCAGUUUCUGACACUGAGGCGCGACAGCGUGGGGAGCAAACAGG
rnacentral:rRNA from 1 species